rnacentral:rRNA from 1 species
UACGAAGGGGGCUAGCGUUGCUCGGAAUUACUGGGCGUAAAGCGCGCGUAGGCGGACCUGCAAGUCGGGGGUGAAAGCCCGAGGCUCAACCUCGGAACUGCCUUCAAUACUGCGGGUCUCGAGUCCGGGAGAGGUGGAGUGGAAUUCCUAGUGUAGAGGUGAAAUUCGUAGAUAUUGGGAAGAACACCGGUGGCGAAGGCGGCGAGCUGGUCCAUUACUGGACGCUGAGGCGCGACAGCGUGGGGGAGCAAACAGGG